AUUGAACGCUGGCGGCAUGCCUAACACAUGCAAGUCGAACGGCAGCAUGAAUAGGGGUAACCUUAUUUGAUGGCGAGUGGCGGACGGGUGAGUAAUAUGUAGGAAUCUACCUAGAGGAGGGGGAUAACUUGGGGAAACCCAAGCUAAUACCACAUAAGCCCUACGGGGGAAAGCAGGGGACCGCAAGGCCUUGCGCCUUAUGAUGAGCCUACAUCGGAUUAGCUAGUUGGUGGGGUAAAGGCCUACCAAGGCGACGAUCCGUAGCUGGUCUGAGAGGAUGAUCAGCCACACUGGGACUGGGACACGGCCCAGACUCCUACGGGAGGCAGCAGUGGGGAAUAUUGGACAAUGGGCGAAAGCCUGAUCCAGCAAUGCCGCGUGUGUGAAGAAGGCCUUAGGGUUGUAAAGCACUUUCAGUAGGGAGGAAGGGUGUAACGCUAAUAUCGUUGCACAUUGACGUUACCUACAGAAGAAGCACCGGCUAACUCUGUGCCAGCCGCCGCAGUAAGAC
rnacentral:rRNA from 1 species